AAAUAGAGAGAAUGUAACUAUAACAAUUGUAUCUGCACAGAACCAAAUAAACUGAGCAUACUUACAAGUACUGCUGCAUAUAUUUAUAAUUAUAUCUAACCAAAGGGCCUAUGUAAGUAAAUAAGCAUAAUACCUAUGCCUAUUUUAUUUGAUUUUAAAUAAUUGGAGACGUUGUAACUGUAGUUUUUCUAUUAAUUUGGCAGUGUGAUGUCUUUGUUUCUUGUUUUUAAAGAUAAAUAA
rnacentral:lncRNA from 1 species